GCCAGUGUAGCUCAAUUGGUAGAGCAACUGACUUGUAAUCAGUAGGUUGCGGGUUCAAGUCCUGUCACUGGCUCCA
rnacentral:tRNA from 1 species